GACGAACCGAGCGAACGUUGUUCGGAAUAACUGGGCUUAAAGGGCGCGUAGGCGGGCCGCGUGGUCCGAGGUGAAAUCCUCCGGCUCAACCGGAGAACUGCCUCGGAUACCGGCGGCCUGGAGGGGGUAGGGCACGCGGGAACUGUGGGUGGAGCGGUGAAAUGCGUUGAUAUCCACAGGAACUCCGGUGGCGAAGGCGGCGUGCUGGACCCCACCUGACGCUGAGGCGCGAAAGCCAGGGGAGCAAACGGG
rnacentral:rRNA from 1 species